rnacentral:lncRNA from 1 species
AGGGUCAGUGUCUUUCCCUCCAGGAAGCUCCCUACAUAGCUCCAUUUACCAGAUAGCCCCAUUGACUAGAUCUUUCCCUGCAAAAGGCUUCUGGUAGAGCAUCAGAGGUGCCACACAGAGACACAGCAGGCGCAAACACCAUACAGGACACUGCGGUUGAGCUCCCUGGGGUGGGGCAGGGCUCAGAUGAAGGAGGCUGAGUUUGCCUUUGGUGGGAGUGUGACAGUGUCACCCAUCCCCACCAAACAGAGCCUGAGGAACUGGGUCAACCCACAGGACGCACUCUCAAGGCUGUUGCUGCAGUGUGUGGAUGUUUGUCGCCCAGCCUCUCUUGGAGACACCAGGUCAGCGAACCGUGACACACAGGGACCUGAUGAGUCUCCCAAAUAUAAGGACAGGAAAGAGGUCAGAUCAGGGGAGAGACUCCAGCUCUGUGAUAUUCUAGAACUGCCCAGGUAAUGAACACUUGCAUCAAUUAGGAUGACAGUGGCUUACAGCGAAUGGGGGAUGGAGACAGGAGAACUGGUCAAAAGCUUGCCUGCCAGAGAACUGGGCAACAGAAGAGAGAUCCUGCCUCAGUAUGGUGGAGGUGAGAACUGUCUCCUGAAAGCUGUCCUUAGUUCUCCACAUGCUUAUGUGGUAUGUGCAUGCCCACCCCACACACAAAUAAUUAAUGAAAUAAAUAAAUAAAAAUCUCAUACUCUUUCAAAAUUCCUAGCCCUCGCCAUAGCCAGAAGCAGGAAGGUGGUCAUUGCUGGGAUCUUCUUGCUCAUUCGAAGCCCCUGUCCAGCCCCUGCUGUCCCUCCGGCUCUGACCUUGACAGUCACACAUCCAGACUCCUUUCUGCCUUCUUGUUUGUUUGUUUGUUUGUUUGUUUGUUUUUGAGACAGGUCUUCUCUGUGUAAUAACCCUGGAUGUCCCAGACUCUCGUAGACCAGGCUGGCCUCGAAUGCAGAGAUUCACCUGCCUCUGCCUUCCAAGUGCUGGGAUUAAAGGUGUGCGCCACCACACCUUGUUGCCCCAUUUCUGCUUCUUGUUUAUGAAGUGGGGCUGGUCUGCCAUUCUGACGAUUUCAUGCCAUGGGCUGGGGACAGUGGUUGAUGUACUCGGGUCUGUGCUACAGACAGCUAGUGGCACCUUAAAGAAAUAAUGGCUUGCCUUGUUAUUUAUUUAUUCUGAGGAUACAGAGAGGGUGCCAACUCACACAAGUAGGACAAUAAAGCCAAGGCAAUAGUUUAAAAUCAUUAAUCAAAUCCCACAGUGGCCCUGUGACCUGGAGGCAAGGUUCCUGCAGAACCCUGCUAUUAAGUCUAUAGGAAAUGACAGCCCUCUUGCAUGCACAAACUUCCCCUUCCUCCAGGAAGCCCAUCUGUGGUUUGUGUGUGUGUUCUUGGGCUUCCAUCUGUACCAGAACCACUCAUUUCUCACAGGAAGGUUGGCCUGCUGUGUGUGUCCUUCUAGUAGAGAGAUUAAUAGGAGGUGAGCAUGAAUGGUCUGAGCCUGUGAUCCCAGCACAGGAGAGACUGAGGCAGAAAGAUCACAAGUCUCAGGCUAGCUGGCUCUACUUAACAAGUCCCAGGUUAGCCUGAUCUACUUGGCAAGUCCCAGCCAGUAGCAAGACCCUUCCUGUAAGGAGCCAAAAGAUACCCCAAAGGACACAGAAGAAUGACUGACUAAGGGCCCAGGAAGGAAGCAAGACCUGGAGAGAGACCUCAGAAGGAACUAAUCCCCACCUUCCUGUUAGCUCAGAUGUCCAGCUUGCUCAACAGUGAAAAAAGAAAGUCCCAGGCUUGGGGAGAUGAUAUGCUCAGUCAGCCAAGUGUUUGCUGCAUAAGCCCUACAGACAGCCUGUGUUGGGAUCCUCAGCGCCCACAUGAUGGAACACGUGAUGGAACACAUGAAAUCCCACACUGGGUGGUGGGACGGGGGAGGGGGUGCAGAGAGGAUCCCAGGGGCUGUUGGCCAGACAACUAGCCUCUUGUUGGCUAGUGGAAGUGGUUAGCUCCAGGGUUCAGUAAGAGACCCUAUCUCAAAAACUAAAGGGAGAGAAACCUCUGGCCUCUGCCUGUGCACACAUGAAUACAUGUGCAUGUACACACAUGCAUAUAUGUGCUCUCUUUCUCUCUCUUUUCCUGUUCAGUCCGAUGGCAUGUUGUAAUGGUAGCUCUAGAAAACUCACGUAGACAUUUGGGAGCCCCAAGAAAACAGUGUAAAUGUAGGGGGUCCUCCUGGAGAAGUUUGGCUCUGUUAGAUUGUUGGUUUUUUUCAUCUGACCACAAGGCACAAUACGGUCUCUGCAGAGUGGCAGGCAGGUCUGAGGCAGCCUGGUCCUCAGGGAACUGUCUGUGCAGGGCUGAGAUGCAUGCAUAGCCCACUGCCUCAGUUUCUACCCCCAUGAAAUGGGAAUAAUGACCUUUUAUCCUUUUUUCCUCUUUUUUUUUUUUCUUCUUCUUGACAGUACUAGGGAUCGAACCUAGGGCCUUACGCAUGCUAGGCAAGCACUCUACCACUGAGCUACAUCUCCAGUCAACAGAUUUCCUUUCCCUGUCAUUAGUCCCUAACAUAACUAUUCACGAGGCAGCAGAGACAGCCCAGGGGAUAAAGUGCUGGCUGGACAACCUUGAGGACACAAGUUCAGAUCCCUAGAACCCACAUAAAAGCCAGGCAUGGCUGUGCCUGCUUAUAGGCCCAGUGCUAUGGGUGUGGAUGACAGAUGCAGGCUCUGAAACCUCACUGGCAAGCUGGUCUCCCAACACAGCAAUCCUUGUGCACCGGAGGCCCCUAGAAGAACAGAGAGGGAAGAGAAGAGGGUGAUGAAGAGGAGAGAGAGGAGGGAAAAGAGGAGGAGGGAGAGGAGGAGGGAGAAAGGAGUAGAGAGAGGAGGAGGGAGAAGAGAAAUGAGAGGAAGAAGGAGUGGAGAAGAAAGUGUAUUAAAUGGUUCUCAGCACCUCCCCCAUGUGCUAAUUGAUGAUGCAUCUUCUUUGGUGAAGUGCCUGUUCAAAUACUUAGUUCAUUUUUAAUGUUCUCCUCCUCCCUCCCCUACUGCCUCCUCUGCCCCUCCUUUUGUCUUUCCAUGCUGGAGAUUGAAUCCAGGUGUCAAGCAUGUGAGAAAAAUGCUCUACUCUCCAGUUACACACCAGACUCUUCCAUCUCCAUGAGAGGUUCUUGGAAGGGACAAGAAGUUGAAGGCUCCUGAAGUCUAAUACGCUGGCGAUUCUCCCGACACUCAUGCUGUGCUCUCCAUGUUGUGUCAAGGACAGUGCCAAUACCUGGCCAUGAGGAUGUUCUCUGGUAGUGGUGGUGGUGGUGGUGGUGGUGGUGUGUGUGUGUCUGAUCAACUCUCCUGGAACUGACGUUACAGGUGAUCAUGAGGCACCUGGUGUGGAUGUUGGGACCCAAACCCAGGGCCUCAGCAAGAACUGGGUCUCUUUCUUUCUUUUUUUCCACUUAUUUUGAGUGUAUGGUGUUUUGUCUUCAUGUAUGUCUCUGUAGCAUGUGUGUAUAGUGCCCAUGUAGCCAAUAGGGGUCGUUGGAUGCCCUGGGACUGGAGUUACAGCUUCCAUGUGGGUGUGGAGACUUCUGCAAGAACAACCAGUGCUCUUAACCACUGGGCCAACUCUCCAGCCCGUUUUUGUUUUGUUUAGUUUAGUUUUGAGACAGGCUGGCCAUGAGCUCUUUAGCCUUGAGUUCCCAGUCCCCAAGGACUGACUUACAGAUGUGCAUCUCCAUGCCCAGCCCAUUUUCUUUUAGAAAUUCCCUAAGCUCAAAUCUUACACGUAGGUCCACCCAUCAUUUAAAACAAAAUUUCCUUAACAUAUAUAAAAUGCACAUAACUCCCAUGGUAAUCUUUUCAACUGUGCGGCAUCCUGGCCAUCAGCGUAUUCACCGUGUUGCUCAACUGUCCCCGCCAUCCGCCCACAGAACUUUCCGUCUUGCAAAACUGAAACUCUGCUCCCAGAGAAAGCAUCAAGACUUCCCACUCCCCUCCCAGCCCCUGGAAAC